GUUUAACUGAAAAGGGAAAAUGUUCUGGGCAUGCUAACUUUUCAUAUUCAGUCCAUACCAUAUAUCCUUGAACUCCAAAGAACUGAACUGUAUCCCUGUGAAUACAAGAUUUCUGAUAAGACUUUUAACAAAAGGAUUGAGGCAUAGAAGAAAAUUUCCACAUGACGCUCCAGUCCUUCACCCGCAGCUAAAAUAUGAAAGAUGAUGACUUGAAGCACAUAGCUAUUCCUACUGCCUGUAUUUAGGUUCAGUAAAUAAACUGGAUUUGGACUUCACCUCUAAUGUCUGAUAUGAAUUGCAUCAAGCUAGCAUGGCAUCAGAUGAAAAAUAAUAUCAGGAUAGUUGCCAAAUCAAGCAAGAAACCAAAGAGGCGAUGCCGAUCCUAGCCAUUCAUCACUUUGGGGAAAAAAUGUUGACGGUUGAAGAGUGUAACCGAUCUAUAAAACAACUUUGCAGAGUCCUUCCAUGGAUUUUUGAAUGA